rnacentral:lncRNA from 1 species
ACCUCCGGCACCGGUACCUCCGGCUUCAUCACCUUCACCUUCACCUCCACCUGCACCGGCUGUAUCACCCAUAUCUCCACCUUCAACAGCUCCUACACCUGCAGGUUCACCAAGCCUGUCACCGCCUUCUUCGGCUCCUACACCUGCAGGUUCACCAAACCUGUCACCGCCUUCUUCGGCUCCUACACCUGCAGGUUCACCAAGCCUGUCACCGCCUUCUUCGGCUCCUACACCUGCAGGUUCACCUAGCUUGUCACCGCCUUCUUCGGCUCCUACACCUGCAGGUUCACCUAGCUUGUCACCGCCUUCUUCGGCUCCUACACCUGCAGCAGCAGGCUCACCUAGCUCGUCAUCACCUUCUUCAGCGCCCACAUCAUCGCCACCUUCAACCACUGCACCGGGAUCGCCGGGACCGGCCGGUGCGAACUCACCUCCGGGGCCGGGUGGUGGGAACUCACCUCCAGGGCCGGCUGGGGGGAACUCUCCUCCGGGGCAGGCUGGUGCGAACUCACCUCCGGGGCCAGGGUCAUCAUCGGGAAGGCCAGCGGUUACUGCUUCCACUGUAUUGGUGUCAACAAUUUCUUUACUUGUCUUAAGCGUGACUUUUG